AGAUUCUAACUAAAGUGCAGUCUACAGAAAACUGCUUGAAAAUGAUGUUCUAGAAAACUUGCUGCUGGGCAGACCUUUCUUCGUCAGCAGGCCACACCAACUGAAGCAGCAGAGAAUCUCACCAGGGCUUAACAUAAACCCCUGGAGUCUGAAACCUGAGAGCUUCUGCCCUCAUCUGAUUCAGAUUCAAUACCAGGUGAAAUGGGUCUGCAUCUAAAAAGAACACGGAGUCUUUAUGUCUUCCACCUGCUGUGCCCCCAAGAAUCAUAUCAGACACCAUACCCAAUGAAUGUUUGAAAGUCAGCUAUGUGUGUGCAUUUCAGUGGGUCUCUGAAUAAAUGGGUGAUUUCAGA